rnacentral:misc_RNA from 1 species
AACGCACAUUGCGCCCCUUGGUAUUCCUUGGGGCAUGCCUGUUCGAGCGCCGUUAGCAUCCUAAAGCUUUGCUUUGUGUUGAGCAUUCCGAGUCGGAAGCUUCAAAUCAAGAUGCCAAUGACGGCUUGCGUAAAGCAGUGAAAGUGCUGAUCGCAAAUCGGCUGCGGCAAGUCAACGACCGCAUGGCCUCGAAUCAGGUAGGGCUACCCGCUGAACUUAA